AGUGAACGCUGGCGGCAGGCCUAACACAUGCAAGUCGAACGGCAGCACAAGAAAGCUUGCUCUCUGGGUGGCGAGUGGCGGACGGGUGAGGAAUGCAUCGGAAUCUGCCCAUUUGUGGGGGAUAACCUCGGGAAACCGGGACUAAUACCGCAUACGACCUACGGGUGAAAGCAGGGGAUCUUCGGACCUUGCGCAGAUGGAUGAGCCGAUGCCGGAUUAGCUAGUUGGAGGGGUAAAGGCCCACCAAGGCGACGAUCCGUAGCUGGUCUGAGAGGAUGAUCAGCCACACUGGGACUGAGACACGGCCCAGACUCCUACGGGAGGCAGCAGUGGGGAAUAUUGGACAAUGGGCGCAAGCCUGAUCCAGCCAUGCCGCGUGUGUGAAGAAGGCCUUCGGGUUGUAAAGCACUUUUGUUGGGAAAGAAAAGCAGCCGGUUAAUACCCGGUUGUCAUGACGGUACCCAAAGAAUAAGCACCGGCUAACUUCGUG
rnacentral:rRNA from 1 species